rnacentral:miRNA from 1 species
CUUCCUCGUCUGUCUGCCCC